UACAGAGGGGGCAAGCGUUGUUCGGAAUUACUGGGCGUAAAGGGCGCGUAGGCGGCCUGUUAAGUCGAACGUGAAAUCCCCGGGCUCAACCCGGGAACUGCGUCCGAUACUGGCAGGCUUGAAUUCGGGAGAGGGAUGCGGAAUUCCAGGUGUAGCGGUGAAAUGCGUAGAUAUCUGGAGGAACACCGGUGGCGAAGGCGGCAUCCUGGACCGAUAUUGACGCUGAGGCGCGAAAGCCAGGGGAGCAAACAGG
rnacentral:rRNA from 1 species